GACGGGUGAGUAACGCGUGGAAAACCUGCCGUAUACUGGGGGAUAACACUUAGAAAUAGGUGCUAAUACCGCAUAAGCGCACAGCUUCGCAUGAAGCGGUGUGAAAAACUCUGGUGGUAUACGAUGGUUCCGCGUCUGAUUAGCUAGUUGGUGGGGUAAUGGCCUACCAAGGCAACGAUCAGUAGCCGGCCUGAGAGGGUGAACGGCCACAUUGGGACUGAGACACGGCCCAAACUCCUACGGGAGGCAGCAG
rnacentral:rRNA from 1 species